rnacentral:rRNA from 1 species
CUACGGGCGGCUGCAGUCGAGAAUAGUCUACAAUGGACGAAAGUCUGAUAGUGCAACGCCGCGUGGGUGAAGAAGCAUUUCGGUGUGUAAAACCCUUUUCUUUGUGAGCAGUGCCGUUAUGGUUAAUAGCUAUAGCGGAGGGAUAUUAGCAGAGGAAUAAGCCACGGCUAACUCCGUGCCAGCAGCCGCGGUAACACGGGGGUGGCAAGCGUUGUCCGGAGUCACUAGGCGUAAAGGGCAAGUAGGCGGAGUAUCAAGUCAGAUGUUAAAGGCAUUGGCUCAACCAAUGUACGGCAUUUGAUACUGGUAUUCUAGAAUUUGGUAUGGGAAGACGGAAUUCCUGGUGUAGCGGUGGAAUGCGCAGAUAUCAGGAAGAACACCGGAGGCGAAGGCGGUCUUCUGGGCCAAAAUUGACGCUGAAUUGCGAAGGUGUGGGUAUCAAACAGGAUUAGAUACCCCUGUAGUC